rnacentral:lncRNA from 1 species
UGGAGCAAUGAAGAAAGCUGCUCAGGCUGCCCUGCUCCUGUACAUAAAAGCACCCAUCUGAACCAGCCCCACAAGGGAUUCUGUGAAGAACCAACCAGGAUAAAAUAAUGGAUGAGGUCUAAACAGGGAAUAGAUCUGAAACUGGCUUUACCAGCAAACAGACAACCCAGUGUUCAGCAAUCACUACUCUGACAGGUCAGCAGCCAGCAGCAUUGAGGCAAGACCUUCCAGCAGCAAGAAAAAGAUUACAACUUGCUGAAGGCUCAGAGGAUGAACUGAUACUUAGCACUGUACACAGUAACAGCAAUAUCGUGGAAUGAUCAACUGUGAUAGCCUUGGUUAUUCUGAGCCAUGCGACGAUCCAGGGCCACUCUGAGGGACUGAAGACAAAGGAUGCUCUCCAUCUGCCUCCAGAGGAAGGACCGUGGAUGUGGGAAUGCAGAUGAAAGAAAGCAGGAGCAGAGAUGGAAGACACAGUAUUGGGAAAGAACCUUGGAAGCUCCCCUCUACUGCAUCCAGUGGAAAGCUUUUCCAUGAUCGGUGAAUGGUAAGCACCCCAGGGCCUUGUGUCAUCUACUCCAGGCAGCUGUGGGAUGAGAACAAUGCAUACAGGGCAGGAUAUUGUUGUUGCUGAGUGGUUUCCAUUCUACCCCACUGUAUAAAUGGAAUUAUCUUCCUUUGUUUAUUUUAACUUAGUCAAUCAAGAACCUGGAGUGCCCCUCACUUAGUCAAACACUUGAAGAACCUUUUACUAG